GGCUGUCAUUGCAUUGAAGUGCCCUGAAAUUGAAGUGGCUGUUGUGGAUAUUUCUGUCUCAAGAAUUACUGCCUGGAACAGUGAUGCACUUCCGAUCUAUGAGCCUGGACUUGACGAGGUGGUGAAGAAGUGCAGAGGGAAGAACCUUUUCUUUAGCACUGAUGUUGAGAAGCAUGUUUCCGAGGCCGAUAUUGUGUUUGUUUCGGUUAACACCCCGACGAAAACCCAAGGUCUGGGAGCUGGGAAAGCCGCUGAUCUGACCUACUGGGAGAGUGCUGCCCGUAUGAUUGCUGAUGUAUCGAAAUCUAACAAGAUCGUGGUCGAGAAAUCAACUGUCCCUGUUAAAACAGCCGAGGCAAUUGAGAAAAUUUUGACCCACAACAGCAAAGGCAUCGACUUCCAGAUUCUCUCCAACCCUGAAUUCCUUGCCGAGGGAACUGCGAUUCAGGACCUUUUCAAUCCGGACCGUGUUCUUAUUGGAGGCAGGGAAACACCAGAAGGUCAAAAGGCAAUCGCAG
rnacentral:lncRNA from 1 species